AAUAUUGCACAAUGGGGGAAACCCUGAUGCAGCGACGCCGCGUGAGCGAAGAAGGCCUUCGGGUCGUAAAGCUCUGUCCUAAGGGAAGAAACGGACGGUACCUUAGGAGGAAGCCCCGGCUAACUACGUGCCCGCAGCCGCGGUACUACGUAGGGGCCGAGCGUUAUCCGGAAUUAUCGGGCGUAAAGGGUGCGUAGGCGGCCUUUUAAGUCAGAUGUGAAAGGCUACGGCUUAACCGUAGUUAGCAUUUGAAACUAAAAGGCUUGAGUGCAGGAGAGGAGAGUGGAAUUCCUAGUGUAGCGGUGAAAUGCGUAGAGAUGUGGAGGAACACCAGUGGCGAAGGCGACUUUCUGGCCUACAACUGACGCUGAGGCGCGAAAGCGUGGGUAGCGAACAG
rnacentral:rRNA from 1 species